UCCCUUUCACUAACCAAGAGAAACUUCUCCUAGACCUCUAACAGGAUGUACUCACUAAAACCUUACAGGGUACACAUGUUACUGUCAACCUACAUUCUGCUCUGAUUAAUGAAUCUCUACGUGCAAUCAAGACUUUGUCUGAAACCAUACCUCAGGAUAUUAUGUACACACGAGUGGUGAGAGAUUUGAUGCAGGACCUGCUCAGGGAAGUAAGUUCCACACUGGACAGCUUGGUUGAAAGUCGUAUUUCCCCGUACUUGGUACCACUGGACCUGCUCAAAGUUAGCUUGACAGCUGCUACCCCUCUACUGUGCACCUUUCACAAAUCCACCUAGCAUACAGCCUAGGUAGUGCAAUUCCCAUUCACGUUGAUGCAGAACAUUAGAACUCGGUUUCCUGUUACAUGUUCCCAUAAUUGUGACACCUCACAUCUAUAGGUUUAGGUCGAUGCUGAGCAUUGGUAUUUGAAAGGACGGUAGGCAUUUCCACUUUGAACUAGAAACCUGACACUCCAUCACCUCAACCUCGAACAGCAUGACUCAGAGAUUGAGAUCAUGGACGCUUUCCAGGGUUAUAACUUUGCCUUCGAUUUAGAAAUUGACCAACAAUUACUGAUUGAAGGAACCAAAUUUGUUAAGUUCACACAAAACCCGCGUGAACUUACUUUGACGCCCAAGACGCUACAUUGACACAGAUUAUACGAUUUAAUCUGCACAUUGGUCGCCCUGGGGAUGGAAUGGCUCAUCACGGCCGUGAUAGCUUAUUCCGCCUACAGGCGUGUUAAUAAACUCCAAGAUAAGAUGCACUUGCUCACCUACGGUGUGCCUCGUGACCGCGUUCGGGGAGACUCCAAGCGUGAAUGUACCACACCUGUCUAAAGGGGGUGAGCAACAUUUUCUUUGUUAUUCUGUAACCCUAAGAGUAGUUCUCAUUUUAGUCUACCUCACAUAUUUAUCUGAGUGUUGCAGUAUGUCACAUUCUUUAUAAGCUACACACUGACUGUAUGACCUAAGAAUGUAUUUUAUGAGACCUCAAGGUUGCUAUGAAUUUUCUUGGAUGUUAUAUGUUUUUUUUUUUUUUUUUGGGUUUUCUGUAUUUUUGUUUCUUACUUGGUCACAUAUUAACUAGUGGUUAUGUGCCGGCCCAGCUCAAUCUGUCAAUGACUCUGUCUGACGCACCAGCACAUUGUAGUACCUCUUAGUUUUAUGGUCCUUGUUUUAGCCCAAAGACUGUCCUGAUCCACCCUUUGGACCAAAAAGGGGGGAAUCUUGGGACCACAUAGGUCAAUGCGCGUUUGCGAACUAUGGACCUCGUACAUCACCGCGUGCUCCAUAAACUGAACUGUAUGGCCGGCGGUGAGAUGCCUUUGUGUCCACUCGUGGAGUUAACCGCCCACCGACCUUCCUCCUUCUACACUACUACCUCUCGCAUGGACGACAUCAUCAUUGCGUACCACCUGCGUGAGUGGCUUCUUCUCGUUAUGCGCGUUGGGGACUAUCCCGUUUCCUAUCCUCUUUGUGCCUGACAAAGACAAAGACCAAAGGCGCCAGGAUCCAAGACAAAGACCAAAGACAAAGGCGUCCAAGGAGACCAACGUCCUAAGGGACAAACCCACCUGUGCUUCCGACAAUCAAGUCGACCUACGUUCAUGAGGAACAAACCCAUCUGUGCUUCCGACGAUCGAGCUUUGGGCGCGAUCCCCGAAACCAAAAGGGGGAAUGUUGAGGGUCUGACCUCAUGAGGAAAUUACUAUGCAGUGAUUUUCUCCAAAAUGACUGUGCUUAAAUUGCUCUGAAAAGCAAAUAAUCACAUCAGCGCCAAGAAACUUCAUUUCCCAUGAUGCUUUGCACACGGAAGCAUUGGGUGAUGUUACCGCCUAGUACCAGAAACACGUUCUGCGCAUGUGCGGGAAGCCGUGGAGCUUUCCCCGCGAACUAAGACCAUAAAUCUUCAGCAGAGACAAAGAAACCUCGUUCUUUUGCCCAGGAUACCUGGCGGUAAGGACACGCUUGUCAACGCUCCGACUCCCUUGAGCACGCGGAAGCUCUAAGUGCCCACGUUGAGCCCACGGAACUGCUGGAAACUAAACUGCAAGCCCAUCAGAUCUGCUCGUUUCUGCUCCCCUCCAGCUGAUGUUUGAGGACACAGAACUGCGGAGGAAAGCAACAACUCCAUCAAGCACGCUGUAAGUUAUAACUCAGCACAGAAAGAAACUUUGCUGUCUCUGUCCAGCCCGUGGAGAAACACUCGUGAACGCCAAACAACGGAGAAAGCAUCAAACCGACGGACGACGCCAAACUGCGGAGAAACACGGAGAACCGUCAAAUCAAAACAGUGAGGGACGCUUCACUGUUCUGGUGAUCAGAAACUCAUCUCUUUCUCUCAUUCUUUCCUUCUCCCGUUUCCUCUAUAGUCUCAAAUAAGCAAUAAACCGCGUCUAUUGCUUAAAAAGUAGCUUCGUGUUUUCCUCUUUCGUCCCAAACACGUCCGUCGGGUCAUUUUGAAAGAAUAAACUGCUUAUUGAUCAUUGUUUGGUAUCUUAAAAUGGUUUCUGUCAUGGCCAGGCUGAAACUAAAAGAUAUUAAUUUGUGAUUAAUCUUUUGUGUUGUUUCAUGAUCUUUUGAAAUGUUUUGAGUGAUUUAAGGUUAAGUUACUACUGAUUCUAAGUGCUUUGGAAGUUAAAGUGCAAGUUGCCACCCACACUUUAGCCAGACAAAGGGGUCAGCCAUCUUGUAUUCAAGACUCCAUUUUGAAUCCAUACACACGCACACACACACACACACACACACACACACACAUACACACUACUCCUUUGUGAGAACAAAGGACCCCAUUCAUACAUCCUCCAUCACAUGCAAACACAUCCAUCUUCAAUCAUAUCACACGGUUAUUAUUCAUCUAUUCCACUGUUUAUUCAUUUGACAAAUUGUUAAUUAAAUGUUAUAAAAUUCAGAUUUUUGUGUCCAGUAGCUUUGUUGUGUCGAAGAGAAGUCUCUGCUCCAAGGAUUCUACGAACUUCAAGAAAGACUGAUAAGAGUUUUGGAUUCAAUUUUUCCCCGGAAAAAGGGGAAUGGUGCCCCGUAUAUCUAAGAAUAUCUUAAUUAAUUAAUAAAUCAGUAAAUAUUCCCAUAUUUACAGAAUUUAUUGAAGAAUCCAAAAGUAAGUUGAAGCUUACUAAUUGUUCGCUCCUAAUAACCCCAACAGAUCCAAAGGGCCAUCGUUGGUUCCAGACCCGUUCUACAACAUUCCUCUAAUCUUAAAGUCAUCAUCAGUUUCUUCCUUUUAACAAAUAUUUAUUUGUUAAAAUAUUUAAUAUUUAUAACUGGAAUAUUUGUUCCUCUCUCUCCCACUGCAGUUAGUCCUGUCCUGCAACCCUGUUUUUGCAGCUUAGUGAAGCCAACCAUCACUAACCUGGGGGUGGUUUUGGACCCAGAGAUGCGGAUGGACUCCCACAUUAGCCAGGUGGUUAGAUCCUGCUUUUUCCAGCUUCGCCAGCUACCAAAGAUGAAGUCCAUCCUGAAAGACGUGUCAUAUUUUCUCCCCAAGCCGGACCUGACCACAGAUAUACUGCAGCUCGUUUUCCUCUAGGUGAUCCAGAGAGGCUUGACCUUUGGGUGAGCAACCAAAGAAGAGAGGGCUGGACUCCCAAUUCAUUCUCCCGCUUGUGCAGUGAACACUUUGAGAGUCAUCACUUCACCACGGACUCCAGGGGGAGAGUUUGCCUGAAGGACACAGCCGUACCUACAAUCUUCUCGUCCUUUAAGGUCAAAAAACCUGUUCCAAGAAGGGAAGAACAGGUAAGUAGGAAUGACAAGGUAAGUUUUGAACGUCAUCAGCUUAUCUGAAAGUAAGAUUUAAAAGACCCUAUCAUCUUUGGUGAUCUCACGCCUACACAACAUCCUUUGUUCUAAUGGUGAAAUUAAUUUAAGCUGAUCUUUUACCUGCUGACCUCUAUAACUUUAUUCCUGUUCCUAAUUACAAAGAAACACCUGUGCAGAGGAGGUGUUUUGAAGGUGACAGUUUCUGCUUAUCAAGCAAUAAUUGACAGCUACAAUAAAGCCUGAUUCAUGCUUCUCUGUCAGCUCCAACAGGGAGAGACACGCACGCACGCACGGACGGAGACGUUUAGCGCUCAUAAUUCUCCGUCUCCUGGGGAGUGUUGCAAAGCAAUUCCUGGACCGGACAGCAGAGGGCGGUGAGCUGUUUUGUGAUAUCCUCUCAUGUAUUUGUCCAAAAUAGUGUGAUGAUAUUGUGUUUUUUUUACAUAAGAGACUUUUUAACUGACAAAUUUGUCUCAUUCAUACACCUCUUCAUGGGCUUGCCACCUCUAAAACCACGAUUCCUGUCAUUUCCGUCUGCAAAUAAAACGCUUGCUGUGGAUCGUUUCACUCCUCCAGUCACGGAGAAUAAAAACGUUCAUGUUUUUAGAGUUUUUUUGCAAGGUGUUCUUCAAGUUUCUCCGUGUCUGUUGCUAGUUAUC